rnacentral:lncRNA from 1 species
AUGGAGCUGGUACGUGUGCGCGCGGGCUUGCACGGAUUAGUCGUGCUUUCCCAUGAACUACAAAAGAACGCCCGAAUCUGGGACAUUUGUCAUCAAGGGGCAGGCUGCUCAGGAUGCAAGGUUUUUCUCAUCCUUAUUUGCCCUGCGGAAUCUUCGAGAACAUUACAGACCAACUGUCGUCUCAGGGUGGAAAGUUCAGUGCCGCCCGGCCCCUCCCCGCGUCUGUGCUUCGGCGUCCUCGUCUGCGCACUGGGGAUGCUGCGGAGAGGGCCGGUGGNUAAUUCCCAUCCUUUCCCCUGAGACCCGUUAGCGUGGAUUCAGCUUUUGUUUUUUUUUUUUUUUAAGCAGCAGAGCCCCGUUCCCUUCCUUAGGGACCCGCAGUGCUUUGGUUUCAAGAUUCGCGUGCGUGCGCCGCCGGCCCGGAGAGGAGACGGAGAGCAGUGACGAGGGGCUCGGCGCCCCCGGAACACGAGGAGGGACUAAGGCGCGGGGGGCGGUGAAUGGGCUCCGUGCUCCGGUCCCGGCGCGGAUCCCAGGCGGACAGCAGCGGCCCCGGGCGGCCCCAGGCCCUCCCCGCGCAGGGAAGUGGGGGGCUCUGGGCUCGGUCCUGCUUUCUUUCUGAAUUCCUGCUGGGCCAGCCAGCUCCGCAAAAUCCGGGCUCACCUCCUGGAGGUUUAAAGCGACUGUAUCUGAGGAGGGUAGAUGAAGACAAGCAAACCAGACAAGUCCAAGCUCCUGUCUGAAUUUUCGGAAAAUGCAGAUGCAGAUCUGAUAGGAUACGCCUUCACUCUCCUGCAGACCUUUUAAUGACUCAGCUUAGCAGGAAAGCGACAUUUGGUGCGAGGCACUGAGUGGACUCAUCUGUCGUUCUGCAGAUAAGAGGACCAGAAUAAGAAAAGAGUUACAAGCAGGACUAGGAUUAGAGCAGGGUCUCUGGUUUCCUAUGACAUCUACUAAAGGACAGAAUUUGAAUGUUGGUGGCUGGGAGCCACAUGAACUCAGGUCACUUUUUGCCUCUGUCGGUGACAUCUUUGGUUACUCAGGAUGUUGGACUGGGCUAGUGUACCUGGCUGGGAGUGGUGAGCGUGAGAGAGGGGUGUGUAUGUAAGGAAUGGGGUUCUUAGUUGAACAUUUUCACGUCUGUGAGUGGUAGGAAGAAAGACAAGUUGGUAACUUCCAAUCAUUGCAUUCCAGUGGGUCUUCUGAUUUUCAAAUUCCCUUUAGAUGGGGAGAGAGGGUAAGGCGGGAGAUUGUUGGCUGUGGGCUGCAAGGAGGGGCUGAGCCUGAGGUGUGACCUCCAGAUGCUGGGGGAUGUUCACUGCGCUCCUCACUGGAACAUCUCUGUUCCAAGCUUUCAGGUAAGGAGUAGAGCGCUCCUAGUGAAGUCCAGGAUUCUAACUGUGAUUUGACUGCUGGCGAAUCAGGUGAAUAAGAAUCUUUGCAAUUACUUACUGUGGUUGCGCAUUACUUACCAAACGUAUUCUUACAAGUUCCUGCAGUGGAAAGGUAAAUCAGCUAAGUCGGUUGUUUCUAUUUAAUUCCUUUCAAAAAGCAUGUGUGGGAGCUGCUCUGAUGGCCUAGUGGCUAAAGUUCCAUGCUCAGUGCUCCAGGGGCCCGGGUUCCCUUCCCAGUCGAGGACCCACAGCACCCGUCUGUCAAUAAGCCAUGCUGGGGUGGCCGCUCACGUAGAAUAACUAGAACUUACAACUGCGACAUACACCCAUGCCUGGGCCUUUAGGGAGGACAAAACAAGAAGGAACACCUCUGACAUGAGCCAACAAAGUAGAUUUAUAUCAAGUUAAAAAAAAAACAAAAAAAGCAUAUGGAUUGCCUACUGUGUGUCAGGCAAUUCCUCCUUUAGCCUCUUUAUGGAAGGCGUUUUGGAGGAAUUGAACUCUGCUCUGUGCUUUGAGAUUAGGAGGGCAAAAAUCCAAGAUGCUGGUCAUUUUUGUAUUUACAUCCUUACUCUAACCUCUUGCUUUAUUUAUCGAUUGUCUUUUUAGGGUUAUUCCUAAGGAGUGCCGUGUUUAGGAAUGGGUUCAGAGCAUCUCAAUCUUUGAUGCUGCUGGAGGAAAGAGGCGUUUUACUAUAAGAUACGAUCAGUAUGUGAAAAAAAGUUGAGUCUACCAGGCAGAAGACUUAUGGGCCACUUACCUAUAUACUCCUCGGUGCACACUGCCAACCAGCAGAGAGGGAAUGAGUGUCACAAAGACAGUGGAGAGAGUCAUACUGCUUUUUCUCACAUGCUGCUUCUGUUUUUAAAGAAGUCUUUCUUAGAAUUUACUUUGCAUUUUACAGUGACAUUAGCAAGACCUAUUUAACUCUAUAUUUUACUUAAUCAAUCACCAUGAUCCUUACACAGUUUGCUUCCCUCUUUCUAGAAACUUUUAUUGUAAUUUAAUUUUUGUUAUGCUAGAGUACUUCCUUGAGUGAGUUUUUCAGAAAGUGAAUAAAAUGGGAUACAUUUAGAAUCCUUGCA